CUAUUAUUUGCAGUAUGCUAUUAUUUACUUCGAUUUUAAAAUAUGUAUAUUAAAGUUUACCUGCUACUAGUCCAUGAUUUUCAACAUGUCAAGCCAAAUGUCCUUCCUACAACUGUCAAUAUUAUUUAAGUUGUAGGCAGGUGACAACCAACUUGCAAAAGCUGAAUGGAAAAUCUCUAGUUUGUUUGAGAUUCUUUUUUUGUUGUUG